UACGUAGGUGGCAAGCGUUGUCCGGAUUUACUGGGCGUAAAGAGCGCGCAGGCGGCCAAGUCAGUCGAAUGUGAAAGCCCCCGGCUCAACUGGGGAGGGUCAUUCGAUACUGCUCGGCUCGAAGACAGGAGAGGGAAGUGGAAUUCCCGGUGUAGUGGUGAAAUGCGUAGAUAUUGGGAGGAACACCAGUGGCGAAGGCGGCUCACUGGCCCGAUACUGACGCUGAGGCACGAAAGCGUGGGGAGCAAACAGG
rnacentral:rRNA from 1 species